UUACGGGAGGCAGCAGUGGGGAAUAUUGGACAAUGGGCGCAAGCCUGAUCCAGCAAUGCCGCGUGUGUGAAGAAGGCCUUAGGGUUGUAAAGCACUUUCAGUGGGGAGAAAGUUACGGGUGUUAAUACCAUUCGUAAUUGAUGUUACCCACAGAAGAAGCACCGGCUAACUCUGUGCCAGCAGCCGCGGUAAUACAGAGGGUGCAAGCGUUAAUCGGAAUUACUGGGCGUAAAGCGUGUGUAGGUGGUUGCGUAAGUUAGAUGUGAAAUCCCCGGGCUCAACCUGGGAAUUGCGUUUAAAACUGCGUAGCUAGAGUAUUGUAGAGGAUAGUGGAAUUUCCAGUGUAGCGGUGAAAUGCGUAGAUAUUGGAAGGAACACCAGUGGCGAAGGCGACUAUCUGGGCAAAUACUGACACUGAGACACGAGAGCAUGGGGAGCAAACAGGAUUAGAUACCCUGGUAGUCCG
rnacentral:rRNA from 1 species